CCUACGGGAGGCAGCAGUGAGGAAUAUUGGUCAAUGGGCGCGAGCCUGAACCAGCCACGUAGCGUGAAGGAUGACUGCCCUACGGGUUGUAAACUUCUUUUAUAAAGGAAUAAAGUGAGGCACGUGUGCCUGUUUGUAUGUACUUUAUGAAUAAGGAUGGGCUAACUAAGUGCCAGCCGCCGCGGUAAUACGGAGGAUCCGAGCGUUAUGCGGAUUUAUUGGGUUUAAAGGGAGCGUAGAGGGGUUGGUAAGUUAGUUGUGAAAGUUUGCGGCGCAACCGUAAAAUUGCAAUUGAUACUGGCAGUCUUGAGUACAGUUGAGGUAAGCGGAAUUCGUAGUGUAGCGGUGAAAUGCUUAGAUAUCACGAAGAACUCCGAUUGCGAAGGCAGCUUACUAAACUGCCACUGACAUUGAUGCUCGAAAGUGUGGGUAUCAAACAGGAUUAGAUACCCUUGUAGUC
rnacentral:rRNA from 1 species